rnacentral:rRNA from 1 species
GACGAACGCUGGCGGCGUGCCUAAUACAUGCAAGUCGAGCGCAGGAAAUCGACGGAACCCUUCGGGGGGAAGUCGACGGAAUGAGCGGCGGACGGGUGAGUAACACGUAAAGAACCUGCCCUCAGGUCUGGGAUAACCACGAGAAAUCGGGGCUAAUACCGGAUGGGUCAUCGGACCGCAUGGUCCGAGGAUGAAAGGAGCUUCGGCGUCCCCUGGGGAUGGCUUUGCGGUGCAUUGGUUCGUUGGUGGGGUAAUGGCCCACCAAGGCGACGAUGCAGUGCCGACCUGAGAGGGUGAUCGGCCACACUGGGACUGAGACACGGCCCAGACUCCUACGGGAGGCAGCAGUAGGGAAUCUUCCACAAUGGACGAAAGUCUGAUGGAGCAACGCCGCGUGAACGAUGAAGGCCUUCGGGUCGUAAAGUUCUGUUGUAAGGGAAGAACAAGUGCCGCAGGCAAUGGCGGCACCUUGACGGUACCUUGCGAGAAAGCCACGGCUAACUACGUGCCAGCAGCCGCCGUAAUAC